rnacentral:misc_RNA from 1 species
GUGAAGAACGCAGCGAAAUGCGAUAAGUAGUGUGAAUUGCAGAAUUCAGUGAAUCAUCGAAUCUUUGAACGCACAUUGCGCCCCUUGGUAUUCCAUGGGGCAUGCCUGUUCGAGCGUCAUUUGUACCUUCAAGCUUUGCUUGGUGUUGGGUGUUUGUCUCGCCUUUGCGUGUAGACUCGCCUUAAAAUAAUUGGCAGCCGGCGUAUUGAUUUCGGAGCGCAGUACAUCUCGCGCUUUGCACUCAUAACGACAGCUUCCAAAAGUACAUUUUACACUCUUGACCUCGGAUCAGGUAGGGAUACCCGCUGAACUUAAGCAUAUCAAUAAGCGGAGGA